GAUGAACGCUAGCUACAGGCUUAACACAUGCAAGUCGAGGGGCAGCAUGGUCUUAGCUUGCUAAGGCCGAUGGCGACCGGCGCACGGGUGAGUAACACGUAUCCAACCUGCCGUCUACUCUUGGACAGCCUUCUGAAAGGAAGAUUAAUACAAGAUGGCAUCAUGAGUACGCAUGUUCACAUGAUUAAAGGUAUUCCGGUAGACGAUGGGGAUGCGUUCCAUUAGAUAGUAGGCGGGGUAACGGCCCACCUAGUCUUCGAUGGAUAGGGGUUCUGAGAGGAAGGUCCCCCACAUUGGAACUGAGACACGGUCCAAACUCCUACGGGAGGCAGCAGUGAGGAAUAUUGGUCAAUGGGCGCAGGCCUGAACCAGCCAAGUAGCGUGAAGGAUGACUGCCCUAUGGGUUGUAAACUUCUUUUAUAAAGGAAUAAAGUCGGGUAUGUAUACCCGUUUGCAUGUACUUUAUGAAUAAGGAUCGGCUAACUCCGUG
rnacentral:rRNA from 1 species